rnacentral:rRNA from 1 species
CCUACGGGCGGCAGCAGUAGGGAAUCUUCCACAAUGGACGAAAGUCUGAUGGAGCAACGCCGCGUGAGUGAAGAAGGGUUUCGGCUCGUAAAGCUCUGUUGGUAGUGAAGAAAGAUAGAGGUAGUAACUGGCCUUUAUUUGACGGUAAUUACUUAGAAAGUCACGGCUAACUACGUGCCAGCAGCCGCGGUAAUACGUAGGUGGCAAGCGUUGUCCGGAUUUAUUGGGCGUAAGGCGAGUGCAGGCGGUUCAAUAAGUCUGAUGUGAAAGCCUUCGGCUCAACCGGAGAAUUGCAUCAGAAACUGUUGAACUGGAGUGCAGAAGAGGAGAGUGGAACUCCAUGUGUAGCGGUGGAAUGCGUAGAUAGAUGGAAGAACACCAGUGGCGAAGGCGGCUCUCUGGUCUGCAACUGACGCUGAGGCUCGAAAGCAUGGGUAGCGAACAGGAUUAGAUACCCCUGUAGUC